GACGAACCGUGCGAACGUUGUUCGGAAUCACUGGGCUUAAAGGGCGCGUAGGCGGCGGAUCAAGUCCGGGGUGAAAGCCCCCAGCUCAACUGGGGAAGUGCCUUGGAUACUGAUUCGCUCGAGGGAGGUAGGGGUCGCGGGAACUUCCGGGUGGAGCGGUGAAAUGCGUUGAUAUCGGAAGGAACGCCGGUGGCGAAAGCGCGCGACUGGACCUCUUCUGACGCUGAGGCGCGAAAGCCAGGGGAGCGAACGGG
rnacentral:rRNA from 1 species